rnacentral:rRNA from 1 species
GGCGUGCUUAACACAUGCAAGUCGAACGGUGAAGGAGAGCUUGCUCUUUGGAUCAGUGGCGAACGGGUGAGUAACACGUGAGCAAUCUGCCCCUGACUCUGGGAUAACAGUUGGAAACAGCUGCUAAUACCGGAUACGAGACGUGACCGCAUGGUCGACGUUUGGAAAGAAUUUCGGUCAGGGAUGAGCUCGCGGCCUAUCAGCUUGUUGGUGAGGUAAUGGCUCACCAAGGCGUCGACGGGUAGCCGGCCUGAGAGGGUGACCGGCCACACUGGGACUGAGACACGGCCCAGACUCCUACGGGAGGCAGCAGUGGGGAAUAUUGCACAAUGGGCGAAAGCCUGAUGCAGCAACGCCGCGUGAGGGACGACGGCCUUCGGGUUGUAAACCUCUUUUAGCAGGGAAGAAGCGAAAGUGACGGUACCU